rnacentral:rRNA from 1 species
GAUGAACGCUGGCGGCGUGCCUAAUACAUGCAAGUCGAGCGAACGGACGAGAAGCUUGCUUCUCUGAUGUUAGCGGCGGACGGGUGAGUAACACGUGGAUAACCUACCUAUAAGACUGGGAUAACUUCGGGAAACCGGAGCUAAUACCGGAUAAUAUUUUGAACCGCAUGGUUCAAAAGUGAAAGACGGUUUUGCUGUCACUUAUAGAUGGAUCCGCGCUGCAUUAGCUAGUUGGUAAGGUAACGGCUUACCAAGGCAACGAUGCAUAGCCGACCUGAGAGGGUGAUCGACCACACUGGAACGGAGACACGGUCCAGACUCCUACGGGAGGCAGCAGUAGGGAAUCUUCCUCAAUGGGCGAAAGCCUGACGGAGCAACGCCGCGUAAGUGAUGAAGGUCUUCGGAUCGUAAGACGCUGUUAUUAGGGAGGAACAUAUGUGUAAGUAACUGUGCACAUCUUGACGGUACCUAAUCAGAAAGCCACGGCUAACUUCGUG